rnacentral:rRNA from 1 species
GAUGAACGCUGGCGGCGUGCUUAACACAUGCAAGUCGAACGAUGAAGCCCAGCUUGCUGGGUGGAUUAGUGGCGAACGGGUGAGUAACACGUGAGUAACCUGCCCUUAACUCUGGGAUAAGCCUGGGAAACUGGGUCUAAUACCGGAUAGGAGCGUCCACCGCAUGGUGGGUGUUGGAAAGAUUUAUCGGUUUUGGAUGGACUCGCGGCUUAUCAGCUUGUUGGUGAGGUAAUGGCUCACCAAGGCGACGACGGGUAGCCGGCCUGAGAGGGUGACCGGCCACACUGGGACUGAGACACGGCCCAGAAUCCUACGGGAGGCAGCAGUGGGGAAUAUUGCACAAUGGGCGCAAGCCUGAUGCAGCGACGCCGCGUGAGGGAUGACGGCCUUCGGGUUGUAAACCUCUUUCAGUAGGGAAGAAGCGAAAGUGACGGUACCUGCAGAAGAAGCACCGGCUAACUACGUG